AUAGUGUGGUGGGGGCACUUCCUAAGUAAUUCCUUGAGUCUCUCCCAUGCUUCAUGAAAUUGUCCGCCCUCUAAAUUGGGAGAAACUAGUAAAUGCUUGCCUAAGGCU